rnacentral:rRNA from 1 species
AGACGAACUGUCCAAACGUUAUUCGGAAUUAUUGGGCGUAAAGUGCAUGUAGGCGGUGCCUUAAGUCUGUCGUGAAACUGCGGGGCCUAACCCCGUAUGGCGAUGGAAACUGUGGCACUUGAGUGCAGGAGAGGAAAGGGGAACUCCCAGUGUAGCGGUGAAAUGCGUAGAUAUUGGGAAGAACACCGGUGGCGAAGGCGCCUUUCUGGACUGUGUCUGGCGCUGAGAUGCGAAAGCCAGGGUAGCGAACGGGAUUAGAUACCCCGGUAGUCCUGGCCGUAAACGAUGGGUACUAGGUGUGGGAGGUAUCGACCCCUUCCGUGCCGGAGUUAACGCAAUAAGUACCCCGCCUGGGGAGUACGGCCGCAAGGCUUAAACUCAAAGGAAUUGACGGGG